rnacentral:rRNA from 1 species
UACGGAGGGUGCAAGCGUUGUUCGGAAUCAUUGGGCGUAAAGCGCGUGUAGGCGGCUUGGCAAGUCGGUUGUGAAAGCCCGGGGCCCAACCCCGGAACUGCAUCUGAAACUGCCCGGCUAGAGUCCCGGAGAGGAAGGCAGAAUUCCCGGUGUAGGGGUGAAAUCCGUAGAUAUCGGGAGGAAUACCAGCGGCGAAGGCGGCCUCUGGACGGUGACUGACGCUGAGACGCGAAAAGCGUGGGGAGCAAACAGG